AUCGACAUUAUCUUACCCGCGUCCAUAACCUAUAGCUCCAAACCCUAACACCAUUCAACCUUAUUAUCAGUCAUUCACUCCGGCGAACGGCGAUGUCUCACUUCGGAAGAACAGGCCCUCCGGACAUCAAAGAUACCUUCUCUCUCCUCGUUCUCAACGUUACUUUCCGUACCACUGCUGAUGACUUGUUUCCUCUUUUCGAUAAGUAUGGAAAAGUCGUCGAUGUCUUUAUCCCUAGAGACCGAAGGACUGGAGAUUCUAGAGGUUUUGCAUUUGUGCGCUACAAGUAUCAGGAUGAGGCUCAAAAGGCAGUGGAAAAGCUCGAUGGAAGAGUUGUAGAUGGUCGAGAAAUAAUGGUUCGAUUUGCAAAGUAUGGCCCAAAUGCCGAGAGAAUUGACAAAGGUAGAAUUUUGGAGCCUGUACAUAGGACAGGAGGAAGGUCAAGAAGCCGUAGUCCUAGAUCAAGGCAUCGAGAUCAUUAUAGGGACAAAGAUUCUAAAAGGAGAAGCCGAAGUAGAAGUGGGGGGAGGUAUGACCGUGAUCGGUACCGUGGAAGAGACAAAGAUUACCGUCAGCGGAGCAGAAGCCGCAGCCCGGAUUAUCACAAAGCUCGUGGAAGGGGUAAAUAUGAUGAAGAGAGGCGCAGCCGAAGUCGGUCUCAUGGAAGUGCCUCCCCUGUUCGUCGUAGCCCAAGUCCUCGGAGGAGCCCUUCUCCACGCAGAACAACCCCUUCUAGGGAUGCUAGUCCAGAUGGUCGUAAUCGCAAGGAGCGGUCUCCAACUUCCAAGAGUGUCUCACCGCGUGGUAGACGUGCUGGUUCUCGCAGCCCCUUGCCACGUUCUGAUGCUGAUGAUUAAGUAGCAAAGGAGGAGGCCACAAUUGUCAUCUGGCUUUGGUCAAUGCUGCGUAUCAAGAGGACAUUCCAAAAUGAAGGACCUUUCAUCUAUUUUCUGCUUGCUAGAACUGAUUGGCCGUACUUAUUUAUAAGCUUGGUCCGUGAAAAGUCAAUGUGGCUGAAUAGCAAGAUGAUGCAGUAGCUGUUGAUGCUGUUUUAUUUGCUGUUGGUUGUAAUUUUGUUGCUGGUCACGAACUACUGUUUCUUAGCUCAAUGGCAAGAAGAUGCAGCAGCUGUCGAUGCUGUUUUAACUUGGCUGUUUAUAAUUUGUUGCUGGUGACAUACUACUGUUUGUUGGUUGAAUGGUAGCAGAUGCGCAGUAGCUGUUGAUGCUGUUUUUUUUGCUGUUGUAAUUUUGUUGCUGGUGACAAAUUAGCGGUUUCUAUUCAAACGUUCAGGAUGCUCAUGAUCGGUAAGGAUAAGAAACUCCUGAAUUUCUGAAGUCAUGCUAGGUUUAUGCCUUUGGCCUGUCAGUCGUUUCCUUUUUCUGCCUUAACUUCAUAUUUUGCCCUGAGAAGGUGUUAGCGAUCAUCUUAAAGAUGAAAAAAACCACAUUUUUAAGUGUAGCUAUUGAAGUUGAUUCCAGGUCAAGAUUUUGUUAUGUUGAGUAGAGAUUUCAAUAUUAGACUGAAUCAAUGAGUUCAGGCAUAGUGAUUGUUUGACCGUAAACAUCACGCUGAUAUGGUUUCUUCAUCUUAUGGUUAUCAAAGUAAAUAAAAUAAAUAAUGAAUUUCCCAAUCUGUUAAUACUUGGUUGCAGUAUCUUUUAUGUGCUCUAUGGUGUUAAAAAUGUUCUUCAAGUACAUAGCGUAGCACCGAUAAUUAAGCUAAUGACAGUUGCAUCGCAUAGCACCUAUAAUUAAGCUAAUGAUAGUUUGCAGUAUGUUACAGCGCAAGAGUUCAUGCUUGUAUGCAUGACGCUCUAGCUGAUCUCUGUAGAUCUUUUGCUGCUGUUAGCUGAUAUCAAAUUGAUGCUGCUUUUUGGUGUUGAUAUUCUGCUUAAUGUGUUCAUUUGGAUCCUCUGGAUGCUGUUCGUGCACCUUCUGCAGAAGCCAAGUUGUGUGUUCAUGUUGUGCUGGGUGACCCAGUCUCCUAGUGAUUUUUCUUUUAAUGGAACAUGUGCACGUUGCCGACUGUGAGAAUGCUAAUUUAUCAAACUUAACCUUCUUCGACUCCACCUGCACUUUGCUGGAUACAUGUAUCUCACCUUUCGUAUUAUCUUCAUAAUGGCAAUUCUGUUAGAAUCCCCGUAGAACUUUCCAGCGGCAUAUAGAGGUGCCUCUUUUGGCGAGGUUAUGUGAUAGCUGCUAGGGUAUUUUUCAUUACUGUAGUCGGGUGUGGUACCUUGUCUAUUAGGUUCCAAUAUGAUGGUGUACUAGAUCUCUAGUUGAUUCGGUUUGUGGGAUAUUACUAUGUUAUGGUGCUGUCUCACCAGGAAUUUGUGCCCUUUCAUAGGGGUUCCGAACCGCAUGUGCUUAAUUAAUUGCUUACCAUAUUGGACAAGUACAUUUUUACUAA